UCGCCCACGACAUCCUUCCAGGCCUGGCUCCCCUGGGCCACGCGGAGUGGAGGGGGCAGGCGGGUCUGUGCAGAGGAAGGGGCACCCUCCCCGUGCAGGGAAGGUGCUCUGCUCUUCCCACCCCCGAAUCCAGCCCCCACCCCACUCCAAGGCACCCAGCUCUGCCCCGCCGCCCUCCUGUUCAUCCUUUCGCACUUUUGGGGGCUUGGUGGCUUUAGCAUGGCCUGUCCCCUCCAGGGACCCACCCACCUGUAUGACAGGGUUUACUUCAGCCUCAUCUGGGAAGGGAGCAGCCCUCGGGAGGCCCCUCAAGUACACAGGAGAUGAAGAAGAGAGAAACUGAGGCUGAGCUGCUCCGAUUGGCCCAAGGGUCCUGAGUUGGAAGAUGACAAAGAAACCCCUCCUUAGAGUCUGGACUCUGCUUCCCCAGUCCAUGACCAUGUGGCUCAGGAGCUGGGGUAGGGGGCACCCAGGAGGAUGGGGACCCUCACCUUCUGGGGACUGAGGGCCAAGAAGCCCACUGAGCACUCAGGGUGUCCCGCCCUGCCCUGGAGAGAGGGCGGCUGGAACCUGCACCCUGGGUUAGGGGGUGAGGCCGGGGAGCCAGGCAAGUACCAGGCCAGCUUCUGCCAGACCGCCCUGUGGGCCAUACCUGUCUCUGACGUCACUCAGGCCUGUGAGCCUCUCCCUGUGCUUCCUCUGCUAGCACAUGUGUGAGCGUGUACAUCACACACAGAUGCACACGUGUGCACAGAGAUGUAUGCACAUAGAGGGAUGUGCACACACACACACUCACACACCAUUGUGUGUUACAACGCCCUCUUAAACCUUGAAACAUUUGGGAAGAUGCUUGACUUGUUUGGUUGCCCCUUUCUAAUUCACCCAUCUCCCAACUGUUCACGCCCUUGUCAACCCCCCAACCCCAGACCCUCCAAGUCACCUCCCAGGUGCUGCUGUCAGCCCCGACACCUCCUUCCUGGGCAGGGGUUGUGAGGGGACGCCUCCUUCCAGGACAGGGGGCACCGUCUGGGCAGUAACGUGGGCCACAGUUGCCCCGUGACCCUCCCUACACUUUGUUGCUCUCCCAGCCACAGGCCUGGCCCUGACGCACAGCAGCUUCUCCGGCCAGCUGUGCAAAAAGGAACGCGUCCUCCCUGGGCCCACGGCUGGGUGGCCACGUAGCAAGGGCUCUUCCACUGCUCAGUGCUGUUACCCUGGGAUCUAAACAGGGCUUGGGGCCUGACGUGAAAAGGGAGAAGCAGUGUUACCAGGGACAUCCUCCUGGGGGUUUUAGAAUCUCCCCCGUGGAGGGGGAGGAGAAGAGGAAGGAGGGAGAACUGCCGGCCCGGCCCCAUGAGUGGAGGGUGCACCAAGUCACUGACCUCUGGUCCCUGCCCACCUGGGAGCUCCUACCUCGCAGGCAGUGCCAGUCUCUGGCAGGGGUCAGGCCACCUGUUCUAUUUGCCUUUAGUUCAUAGCCUGAUCAAAAGGCUAAUGAGUUCAAAGUCACAUUCCUUAUCUCAUUUUUGAGUGAGGACUCAAAACCUGCACCUGGACCAGUGACCCUGGGCAUUUUGUCCCAUCAUUGCACAACCACGGUAGCUUUUAUCUCCCUGCCGGCCUUUUAUUAGGUGCAGCCACGGGUUCUUUGCUUUCUCAUUCACCGCUGACGUCUGUACUAAUGACGACACGCUUUCGAAUGCCAAUUCACUGACUGAAGUACUAGCCACAGGUUUGUUUUUUUGUUCACGCCCAGAGAAUGUGUCUUGGC
rnacentral:lncRNA from 1 species